UUUUUCUUUUUUUGUUUAAGGGCUAUACCUGUGGCACGUGGAAGUUCCCAGGCUAGGGGUCAAAUCAGAGUUGUAGCUGCCGGUCUAUGCCAGAGCCACAGCAACUCCAGACCCAAGCCGCGUCUGCAACCUACACCACAGCUCACGUGUGCCGUAUUUUUAGAUUCCACAUUUAAGUGACAUCAUAUGGUAUUUGUCUUUCUCUUUCUGUCUUAUUUCACUUAGUAUGAGAAUCUCUAGUUCCAUCCAUGUUGCUGCAAAUGCCAUUAUUUUUGUUCUUUUUUAUGGCUGAGUAGUAUUCCAUUGUGUGUGUGUACCACCUCUUCUUAAUCCAUUCAUCUGCCAAUGGACAUAUAGGUUGUUUCCAUGUCUCAGCUACUGUGAAUAGUGCUGCAAUAAACAUAGGGGUGCAUAUAUCUUUCUGAAUGAAUGUUUUGUCCAGACAUAUACUCAGGAGUGGAAUUGCUGGAUCAUAUGGUCGUUCUAUAUAUAGUUUUCUGAGGUAUCUUCAUACUGUUUUCCAUAGUGGUUGUACCAUUUUACAUUCCCACCAACAGUGUAGGAGGGUUCCCUUUUCUCCACACCCUCUCUAGCACUUGUUAUUUGCAGACUUAUUAAUGAUAGACAUUCUGACCAGUGUGAGGUGGUACCUCGUAGUAGUUUUGAUGAGCAUCACAGAUUCACUUUUUUGAAUCUCCAGCUUUCAGACAGCAGUUAUUGGGCUUCUCAGCCUCCAUAAUUGCAUGAGCCAAUUCUUCAUAAGAAAUCUCUUCCCCGAUAUUUAUAUAUUCCUAUUGUUCUUUUCUCUGGAGAACCUUAAUACAUGAUCUUUCUAACCAAAGUGUGGUUUGCAGUGAGUGGCAUUAGCAUCAUCUGGGAGCUCAUUAGGAAUACCUAUUCUCAGGCCCCGCCUUGCAAUUUAACAAGAUCCUUGAGUGAUUCCUUCCAUGUUGGAGCACUCGGUUCCCUUAUUCCCCACGAAAAUUUCAUGGUUGUUUCAUUGCUCCAUCAACUAUGGGACAGCCACAGCAUCAUACCACAGACUGAGGAUUAGCCAGUUAAGGACAGUUUCAGCAAAGAUAGUAAACAAAAAUCCAGUUCUGUUUCAAAUAGUGCAGUUCUUAGGAAAUAAAAGAGUUUUUAAGGCUGCUCUAAUAAUCCCUGAAAGAGAGGGACGGAGGGCUAGAUCUCUAUACCACAGGGUUGUUAGGGGAGCUGGAGGGGAAGAGAGACCUAGUGACCAGGAACAGGAUUCCUUACUCUUCUCUUAAAAAGAGGCAACCAAGAAGAGAGUGAAGGGAAACAGAGGAGUACCUGCAAGUCAAGCAUCUACUGGAGAAAGUUGGUCAGAUAGAGAUAAAUAAGAAAGAACAAAAAGCCUUUGAGCCAAGAGCUCUCACACUAACCUGGUUUCCUGUGGCAUUAACUUUUCACCGUGGAGUGAGAGAAUAACAAGAAUUUAAGAGGUAUUUUUCUUAGUUGGAUUGGGUGGAGUGAGGAUCAAGACAUUUGUUGGAAAAGUGCCUACAGAACCACAGCUGGGCUUUGGCUACUCAACACCUAUGUCUACCUUCUCUUCCCUCCUCAGUUUUCUGGAUGACUGAAAAAAAUAGACAUUACAUUCUCUCAAAUGUUCAGAUUUCCAGCCAGAGUCAUAAGAGACAAUUCAAGGGGACCAGGUAAACACUGAACGGAUAUGAUGGUAAUCCACCAAAGCUAUUGGGCUGUAUCAGCAGCAGACAAAAAAGUACCCAGUAAAAGUUGAAUACAAAGCAGGAAAAAUGGGAUUUCCUUACAAAUCAUAAAAAAAAAAGAAAAAGAAAAA
ensembl:lncRNA